AAUAAAUGUCUACUUCGUUGCUGUCGCCAUUUGAUAUGAUUCAACCUAUAGUUAGAAAAGCUUGUGUAAUUGCAACUUGUUCGGAAGAAGUAAAAGUAGAACUGAGUGGUUUGCAUAAUUAGCAAGAGCUACCAUGACAACGAAAAGAACGCCACCCACAGAAACGUAAACUUCAUCAGCAGAUUGCUGCGUCUGCCACAUAAACCACCAUGGUCAAGAGAGAGAUGGAGGAGGGAAGAAUGAAAAGUCUUUUGGGCCGAAAUCUGGUCCAGCUGUGGUCCAGAGGACAGAACUGGAUGGUAUCAACUCCCUACGCUGCCUGGGGAUCUCCAGCCCCCUCCACCACCGCUCCUGUCAUCCCAGGCAUGCUAGCUGGGAGCCUUUUCUCCACUGCGUCCUCCCCUGGCUUCUGUCACCAACCGCUGUCUGAGUGUCUCAGCUGAGGCCCCAUCUCCCCACAGCUCCCGCUAGCUCUGCAGUGCACUGUGCCAAAUGUGAGGUAUUUUUGCCUCCAGAGCUGCAGAGCCUGGAUCUGUG